rnacentral:rRNA from 1 species
CCUACGGGAGGCAGCAGUCAGGAAUAUUGCGCAAUGGAGGAAACUCUGACGCAGCGACGCCGCGUGAGUGAAGAAGGUUUUCGGAUCGUAAAGCUCUGUCAAGAGGGACGAAACCUCGUCGACCUAACACGUCGGCGACCUGACGGUACCUCUGAAGGAAGCACCGGCUAACUCCGUGCCAGCAGCCGCGGU